rnacentral:rRNA from 1 species
GAUGAACGCUAGCUACAGGCUUAACACAUGCAAGUCGAGGGGCAGCGGGAUUGAAGCUUGCUUCAAUUGCCGGCGACCGGCGCACGGGUGAGUAACGCGUAUCCAACCUUCCGCCUACUCGGGGAUAGCCUUUCGAAAGAAAGAUUAAUACCCGAUGGUAUCUUAAGCACGCAUGAGAUUAAGAUUAAAGAUUUAUCGGUAAGCGAUGGGGAUGCGUUCCAUUAGGCAGUUGGCGGGGUAACGGCCCACCAAACCUACGAUGGAUAGGGGUUCUGAGAGGAAGGUCCCCCACAUUGGAACUGAGACACGGUCCAAACUCCUACGGGAGGCAGCAGUGAGGAAUAUUGGUCAAUGGACGGGAGUCUGAACCAGCCAAGUAGCGUGCAGGACGACGGCCCUAUGGGUUGUAAACUGCUUUUAUAGGGGGAUAAAGUGUGCCACGUGUGGCAUAUUGCAGGUACCCUAUGAAUAAGGCCCGGCUAAUUGCCGUGCCAGCAGCCGCGGUAAUACGGAAGGUCCGGGCGUUAUCCGGGUCUAUUGGGUUUAAAGGGAGUGUAGCCCGUCUUAUAAGCGUGUUGUGAAAUGUCGGGGCUCAACCUGGGCAUUGCAGCGCGAUACUGUGAGACUUGAGUGCGCACGAAGUAGGCGGAAUUCGUCGAUGUAGCGUGUGAACAUGCCUUAGAUACUGAUCGAACG